rnacentral:rRNA from 1 species
GACGAACGCUGGCGGCGUGCUUAACACAUGCAAGUCGAACGGAAAGGCCCUGCUUUUGUGGGGUUCUCGAGUGGCGAACGGGUGAGUAACACGUGAGUAACCUGCCCUUGACUUUGGGAUAACUUCAGGAAACUGGGGCUAAUACCGUAUAGGAGCUCCUGCUGCAUGGUGGGGGUUGGAAAGUUUCGGCGGUUGGGGAUGGACUCGCGGCUUAUCAGCUUGUUGGUGGGGUAGGGGCUUACCAAGGCUUUGACGGGUAGCCGGCCUGGGAGGGUGACCGGCCACAUUGGGACUGAGAUACGGCCCAGACUCCUACGGGAGGCAGCAGUGGCGAACAUUGCCCAAUGGGAGGAAGCCUGAUGAAGCAACGCCGCGUGCGGGAUGACGGCCUUCGGGUUGUAAACAGCUUUAGCCUGAGACGAAGCGUGAGUGACGGUAAUGGGUAAAGAAGCACCGGCUAACUACGUG